UGAUAUUCCAGGAGGGAUAAGCCAAAUGGCAAAUGAUUUAGGUCCGUGGUUUCCAACAUUUUUUCACUUGAGUACCCCUUGGCAGCCCAUUUCCAUAAAUUGUACCCCUCAUAUUAGUGACAUUUUUAUUAUUACAAUAGUUGCUGGUAUUUCAAAUGUAUAUGCUCCAGACUCCCCAGUUUUUCUAUCCCAGGCUCCCUCUGCUUCUCCUCUG